CCUGGUUGAUCCUGCCAGUAGUCAUAUGCUUGUCUCAAAGAUUAAGCCAUGCAUGUCUAAGUGCACGCCUUCAUACGGUGAAACCGCGAAUGGCUCAUUAAAUCAGCUAUGGUUUAUUGGAUCAUACCCGUUAAAUGGAUAACUGUAAUAACUCUAGAGCUAAUACAUGCCCCGAAGCCCUGACCCGCGAGGGAAUGGGUGCACUUAUUAGAUCAGAAGCCAACCAGGUAGUGUCCUCUUGCUUUCGGGUGGGAGCUCCGCUGCCUGUCGUCCUUCUGGUGACUCUGGAUAAUUGUUACAGAUCGCAGUCGGCCUUGCGUCGGCGACGGGUCCUUCAAAUGUCUGCCCUAUCAACUUUCGAUGGUAGGUGACCUGCCUACCAUGGUGAUAACGGGUAACGGGGAAUCAGGGUUCGAUUCCGGAGAGGGAGCCUGAGAAACGGCUACCACUUCCAAGGGAGGCAGCAGGCGCGCAAAUUACCCACUCCCAGUACGGGGAGGUGGUGACGAAAAAUACCGAUGCGGGACUCUUAUUGAGGCUCCGUAAUCGGAAUGAGUGAACUCUAAAUCCUUUCACGAGGAUCAAUUGGAGGGCAAGUCUGGUGCCAGCAGCCGCGGUAACUCCAGCUCCAAUAGCGUAUAUUAAAGUUGCUGCAGUUAAAAAGCUCGUAGUUGGAUCUCGGUAUCACUGUCGCCUGCCAGUCCUCGGCUGAUUGUGUCUGUUGGUGUAGGCAGGACCGUGCUUCGCGCGCGGCACUCCUCGCCCGGGCGCGGUUAUGCUCGAGUUGGCGUGGUGGUGGUGUCACCUUUCAGCCAUGUCUGUGGUGAAAUACCCGCAGGUGUAGGCGAGUGUCAGGCGGUGCUCUGCGACAGUAGGGUCCGUCGGCUCGUUUGCAUGCCUUUGGAUGCCCUUCAAAAGGUGUCUAUGGGCGGAUGGCACGUUUACUUUGAACAAAUUUGAGUGCUCAAACCAGGCCGAUGUUGCCUGAAAAGUUUUGCAUGGAAUAAUGGAAUAGGACUUCGGUUCUAUUUCGUUGGUUUUCGGAUCCGAAGUAAUGAUCAAAAGAGACAGGCGGGGACGUUUGUAUGGUUGCGCUAGAGGUGAAAUUCAUGGACCGUAACCAGACAAACUAAAGCGAAAGCAUUCGUCAAGCAUGUUUUCAUUGGCCAUGAGCGAAAGUCAGAGGCUCGAAGACGAUCAGAUACCGUCCUAGUUCUGACCAUAAACGAUGCCAACUGACGAUCCGUGGUGGUAGUAUUUUAACCAUCCCCACGGGCAGUCCCCGGGAAACCUUUAAGUCUUUGGGUUCCGGGGGAAGUAUGGUUGCAAAGCUGAAACUUAAAGGAAUUGACGGAAGGGCACCACCAGGAGUGGAGCCUGCGGCUUAAUUUGACUCAACACGGGA
rnacentral:rRNA from 1 species